ACGCUCGACACCUACGGGGAGGCAGCAGGUGGGGAAUAUUGCACAAGUGGGGGAAACCCUGAUGCAGCGACGCCGCGUGAGUGAAGAUAUCUUNUAGUAAGCUCUUAGUACAGCGAGGGAAACGAAAGUGGACGGUCCNGAGUAAGACGCCCCGGCUAACUACGUGCCNGACAGCCGGUAGGUAAUCUGGACGGCCGGGCGUGGACGAAGGC
rnacentral:rRNA from 1 species